rnacentral:lncRNA from 1 species
CCCGUGUGUGUGUGUGUGUGUGUGUGUGUGUGUGUGUGUUUGUUUUACUAUAUUCGUGGGGUCCAAAAACCGGGGAAUACAAUAUACUUGUGGGGUCUGCACAGCCUUGUGGGGCCAAAAUGCUGGACCCCACAAGGUUAAAGGGCUUGCUGGACCCCACAAGGUUAAGACUUGGUUUUAGGAUUAGGGUUAGAAUUAGGUUAUGGUUAGGGUAAGGGUUAAGGUUAGGCAUUUAGUUGUGAUGGUUAAGGUUAGGGUAAGGGGCUAGGGAAUACGUUAUGUCAAUGACGGAUCCCCAUAAAGAUAGUGAAACAAACGUACGUGUGUGUGUGUGCGCGCGCGCGGGCGUGCGCGCUUACAUCAUCCCUCUCUUUUUUUCGGACCUGACUACAAAGUGACAGAUGGAGACCUGCGACCGAGUCACGUUGCAACAUAAUUGAAAAAACAGUCCGUAAAAGCAACAUAAUCUCGCAUAGUCUGAUUGACUACUUUGUAUACUUUUCAAAACAUUACUACAGGUUUGGAAUCCUCGCGCGUCAAAAAAAAAGCGCAUCAUCACUCGCAGCGCCUUGACAACCGGCCCGCAUCAGAGAGUAAUCCACUGAUGUUUAUUUUUAGAAGCUCUCGGCCGCUGCGUGUACACUCGUUCAACACACUCCCCAUGUUCCUCCGGUCAAUAAUUUAGAUGCUGUAGGUCUGCCCUGCAGCACAGAGUCACAGAGCAGGCUGCUACAACUCUGCGCUACAGGACGCCUAAAAACAACGCACAGGGUGCACCGCCUGCCGAGCGAUGCACCCAAAAACUAUGAGCCAGCAAAACGGUAACCAAGGAGCCACAUCUGUGAGAAAGCCCUCCGGCUCUCAGAGAGCCCAGCCACGGGCCACCAUGACCACAGAGUACCAGGAGAGGUUUCUUUCCCCGCACAGCCACAAGGCUGUCAUCUCAAGCUCAACACAGAAAGACCCUAACCAUCCACUGAAGGGGAGUGCCGACACGACCACUAUUCGCUCAUACUAUGUGACCCAAAAAUGGAUAAAACAUCCCCCAACGGCCCCACAGCCAUCUUUGCCCCCCAAAGACAAGACAUGCAGCAGCGUGCCACAAAAUCACGUACACCAGAUGGCAUCCAAGUUGGAGGACUACACAUCAGUGUACCAAAAGGAUUUCCAACCAUGGAAAGCAAAUAAGCGAAAGCCAUUUAAAAUGGCUGACUGCUUGAGAGCCAACGAAGGAUUAGGUGCCACAGACAACAUUUCCAAAGAAGGCCACUCCCAUGAACCACAACCUUUUGAAAGCGUCACCAGCUACAGAUUUGAUUAUGUCACCCAUCCAGUGCAGCCCAGGACACGCAGGGAGAAGCCUGUGUGCCAAACCAAAGGUCUGCCGGGUCAGGCUGCUGUGCCCUCGAAGCCAAAGGUGGCUAGGGACAUGAAACAAGAACUCUCUGACGAAGCCAGGGAAUUCUUUCAGCAAUUCAAGACCUGGUCCCUUGAAAACAAGUUUCACGGCCAAGGCAAAGCCAAAAAAUCCAGUCCACCAGCAGAUCACGCCGACUUCCUCUCCACAACACGCACAGACUACACGGCGCACAAGUGCCAGCGCACCAAACCGUUCCUGCCAUCUAAGCAAACCAUGGAGAAAAGCAAGGAGCCCUUUCAGGCAACGACUACCAUGAAGGAGGAUUACAAAACUUGGGACACACCACGGCACUUCCCCAAUGUCCGUAAAGCAGCGAUGGACUGGCCCGGUAGCCUUCAUCCCAAAUUGAAUGAGACUGCAGUCUGUCAUUCCAACUGUGAUGCCACCACUCAGGUUUCCGGCUUGGAAUGCAUCUCCAAUGGGAAUGAAGAAUCCAGGACGUACUGGACCACCUCUCUGACCAAAGGGGUGACUUGGGCCGACGGUGGAGUUUGUCAGGACCCCCCCCACCACCAAAUACUCGGCUGCAUGGUUUUAAGCAGAAGCUAA